CUUCCAGACUCCUACGGGAGGCAGCAGUGGGGAAUAUUGCACAAUGGGGGAAACCCUGAUGCAGCGACGCCGCGUGAGCGAUGAAGUAUUUCGGUAUGUAAAGCUCUAUCAGCAGGGAAGAAGAUGACGGUACCUGACUAAGAAGCCCCGGCUAACUACGUGCCAGCAGCCGCGGGAAUACGUAGGGGGCAAGCGUUAUCCGGAUUUACUGGGUGUAAAGGGAGCGUAGACGGCGAUGCAAGCCAGAUGUGAAAGCCCGGGGCUCAACCCCGGGACUGCAUUUGGAACUGUGUGGCUGGAGUGUCGGAGAGGCAGGCGGAAUUCCUAGUGUAGCGGUGAAAUGCGUAGAUAUUAGGAGGAACACCAGUGGCGAAGGCGGCCUGCUGGACGAUGACUGACGUUGAGGCUCGAAAGCGUGGGGAGCAAACAGGAUUAGAUACCCGAGUA
rnacentral:rRNA from 1 species